rnacentral:rRNA from 1 species
GACGAACGCUGGCGGCGUGCUUAACACAUGCAAGUCGAACGGAAAGGCCCUGCUUUUGUGGGGUGCUCGAGUGGCGAACGGGUGAGUAACACGUGAGUAACCUGCACUUGACUUUGGGAUAACUUCAGGAAACUGGGGCUAAUACCGGAUAGGAGCUCCUGCUGCAUGGUGGGGGUUGGAAAGUUUCGGCGGUUGGGGAUGGACUGGCGGCUUAUCAGCUUGUUGGUGGGGUAGUGGCUUACCAAGGCUUUGACGGGUAGCCGGCCUGAGAGGGUGACCGGCCACAUUGGUACUGAGAUACGGCCCAGACUCCUACGGGCGGCAGCGGUGGGGAAUAUUGCACAAUGGGCGGAAGCGUGAUGCAGCAACGCCGGGUGCGGGAUGACGGCCUUCGGGUUGUAAACCGCUUUCGCCUGUGACGAAGCGUGAGUGACGGUAAUGGGUAAAGAAGCACCGGCUAACUACGUG